CGGGGUGUGGCGCAACCUGGCAGCGUGCCUGAAUGGGGUUCAGGAGGUUGAGGGUUCAAAUCCCUCCACCCCGA
rnacentral:tRNA from 1 species